rnacentral:sRNA from 1 species
UACAGAUUUCACUUCGCCGUCCGUUGUUC